CUCCUCAGCCUUAAGCCUCAGGAGUUGGGCAUCAUCUGUCCUUUUGUUGGCCUAAUUGGCCUUUCCCUCAGCUUCCUGAUAGAUCCACUGAGCUUUCCAAAUCUUCUUGAUGAAAUGAUCUACGUGAUGGAUGAGCUAAAAACAAUCAUAAAGUGUCAUAAAAAAAUUGAAAGAAUUGAGAAUCGAUGGAAGAUCAUCGCUUAUCU
rnacentral:lncRNA from 1 species